GCUGGGCGUGGUGGCUCCUGCUUGUAGUCCCAGCUACUCCAGAGGCUGAGGUGGGAGGAUCGCUUGAGCCCAGGAGUUCUAGGCUGUAGUGCUAUGCCAGUCAGGUUUCCACACGAAGUUUGGCAUCAAUAUGGUGACCUCCUGGGAGCCGGGGACUACCAGGUUGCUAAGGAGGAGUGAACCAGCCCAGGUUGGAAAUGGAGCAGGUCAAAACUCCCGUGCUGGUCAGUAGUGGGAUCGUGCCUGUGAAUAGCCACUGCACUCCAGCCUGGGCAACAUAGCAAGACCCUGUCUCUU
rnacentral:SRP_RNA from 1 species